rnacentral:lncRNA from 1 species
GGGAUUAUUUGAGAAAACCCCCUCAUAUGCCUUUUAUAGUUAGUGUAGGCCCAAAAAAAUUUCUCCUUUUUGAGAUAAAUCCAAAGUUUUAUUUAUCAGCCUUUUUAAUUACGAUUUCUCUAGAAUACCCUUAUGUAUUACCUUGUAUAAAUUUAUGUUUUACUUUUUUUAUUUGACAAAAACCAAUUAUUUAAUAUUAAAUUAAAUUAUAAUAAUUCAAUUACACCCUAACCCUAUCACACGAUCUCCAUUUUUUUUAGUUUUCAUUUCUUCUUCUCUAUUCACGGCUCCACCUUCUUUCUUUUCUCCACCGAGGCCUUUUUCUCUUCUCUCUACCAUCGUUGUGAUAUAGGCAAAAUCUCGUUUCAUGAUGAUAAGUUUUAUCGAUCUCGAUUCAUCGCCGAUGGCAUAUUCAGUCGAAACCCUGCAUUUUCAGUCGAUUCAUCCGGUGUUAACCAACCCUUUUUGCCUCCAUCCCUUGUUCGAAGCUCGGUAAGUUCCAUUUACUCGUAUUUUGAUCAGUAUUCACAAAUCACAGUUUCAAUGGCGGCAUCAUGUUAUUAACUCCUGAUCAUUAUCUGUGUUUUUCCCCCUUUUUUUCUUUUGAUUCAUGGAACUCGGAGUCUAAAAGAUUUGAUUUUUUUGGUUGUAUUCGGAAUUGCUUGAUGACGUCAUUUUAGCUAAUUAAUUCUUAGAAUUAGAUCAGGGCUUCCUUAUUAUAAUAAGAGUCUGCAAAGAGUAAAACUCAAUGCCAUUUUGUUUGCUUUUGUUGGUAAUGUUUUCCCCUAAUUUAGUCACAGUAAUUCGUACCUUAGAACUUAGUUUUUCGAAUGUGUUUUAUGGAUGCAUCCUAAUAUCAGUUCUUGGGAGGUUUGGGACAAUGCUGCAGUUUAAUUGGUUCAAAGACGACGGAUUCUAUUCAAUAAAAGUUGUAAAAUCGGGCAUAGAUUUUAUAGUGGAACUUCUUACCUCAGUUAUUCCGGAAAGAUGCCUAUUCGUAAAAGAGGAAUGGUAUAUUCAGUGGCGUUGAAUAUUCGAUGAUUUCCUUUAUAUAUGCUUUCAUUUGUUUUAAGUGUUUUAUAAUAGUGAUUUUGAUAAGACUAGUGGAUCUCAAGGUAUUGGUUACGAAUUUAAUUUCCAAUGUUUUACUAUCUAUCAUUAUUGUCAAGCUCUAUUGUCAAGCUCUAUGAUUAAUAUUUGGUACCUCUCUUGAUUUUAAAUAUGGAACCAUGUUUUUGUGAGUAGGGGAUAAAUUUGAUGUCGUCUGUCAUCAUCCACACUUUGGCGGAUGUGUUGUUCAACGCCAACACGCCACCGUCGUCUCAGGAUCUUCUUCGUCAUCCUCGCAAAGAAGAGCAGUAAUCUGCUUGUGGUCAGAGCCACCAACCACCGCCUUCAUAUCUGGCGAUCCAUAUAACGGCGCCAAGGCAAUAUAGGCACCGCCAUCAGGCGAUUCAAAUAGUAGAUUAUGUUUUUUUAUUUGUUAUUUUUUUUAGUUGUGUCAGUAGUAAUCAGUAGUGGAUUACGUAUGUUUUUAGUGGUUUUGGAUAAGUUUGUCGUGAAUUUUGGUAAUUUCAUAGUGGAUAUCAAUAAUUUCGUAGUGGAUUUCGGGCAAUUUUCGUUGUGGAUUUUGAUAGUUGUAGUGGAUUUUGAUAUGUUUGUAGUGGAUUUUCGUAAUGGAAUACAUUAAUUACGUAGUGGUUUUCGUUAAUUGUACAGUGGUUUUCGUUUAUUGCAU